AUUGAACGCUGGCGGCAGGCUUAACACAUGCAAGUCGAGCGAGCGGCGGACGGGUGAGUUAUGUCUGGGAAACUGCCUGAUGGAGGGGGAUAUCUACUGGAAACUGUAGCUAAUACCGCAUACCCUCAGAUGUGCCCAUAUGGGUUUGGCUUGUAGGUGGGGUAAUGGCUCACCUGGGCGACGAUCCCUAGCUGGUCUGAGAGGAUGACCAGCCACACUGGAACUGAGACACGGUCCAGACUCCUACGGGAGGCAGCAGUGGGGAAUAUUGCACAAUGGGCGCAAGCCUGAUGCAGCCAUGCCGCGUGUGUGAAGAAGGCCUUAGGGUUGUAAAGCACUUUCAGCGAGGAGGCGUUACUCGCAGAAGAAGCACCGGCUAACUCCGUGCCAGCAGCCGCGGUAAUUC
rnacentral:rRNA from 1 species